rnacentral:piRNA from 1 species
GGAGGACUUGAAACACGUAGCUACUGA